rnacentral:lncRNA from 1 species
AUGGAAGAUCUUCACGUCGACGAACUUGAAGUUGUGGACAUCGAAGUAGUAGUCAUGCUUCACCGGCCUGUUGAAGGGGAAACCGAAGGGCAGGGCGUCCACGUAGCGGGAACCGUGUCCCACGCCGCAGCUGACCACCGGAUCGUAGCCAGUGAACUGGGCAACCUCGGGCUGGUGGUACGGGUAGACCAUGUAGAAGAACUGGAACACCUGGCCGCCCUUCUUGCCGCGCGGCAGCAUCAUUCGGUUGGGCACGCCGCAAUGGGCCUCCGACUGAUCCAGCUUGAACUUGUAGUCACUGUUGGUGGCGUCCAUCAGCUUCUGGUAGAGCUCCAGGUAGGUGGUGCGAUCGUUCACCCAGAAGGAGAAGUCACCGCUGGCGCGCUUGAUGUGGUUAACGCCCGCCUCCAGAUGCACCUUGAAGUGCUCCAGCUCGAAGAAGUUCUGGUAGUUGUGCUCCAGUGGGAUCUCGUGUCCGUGCUCAUCGUACUUGGGUCCAAUGAAGACCUUCACAACGGCAUCCUGAGCCUUGUCCGAGGUCACGUCCAGGGUGAACUCGAAGGGCUUGUGGUUGAGACGCUGCUGGCGGGCCUUGAUCACAUAGCUGGAUCCCUUGUAGUGGGAGUUCCUGCCGAAGGUGUACAACGGAUCGGCGGAUCCCUCAACGGCGGGCUCCACAUUGACGGCAUUGCUGAUGUCCGAGUCGAAGUGCUCGAAGUAGGUGGUCAGACUUUCGGGCAUGUGGACGGCAUCGAUGUGGACACCCUCGAAGGCGUAAUCCUUCUUGUGGUACUCCGGAUAGGUCUCCAUCAGAUGCCAGUAGUGGCUGACAAUGGUCUUGUAUACCUCGUAGAAGAUCGGAUCGCGCAUAGAGGUGUCGUAGUGCAUGAAAAGGCCAGGGAAGCUCUCGUCACCAUGGCCAUAAUGGUGGCCCUCGUUCACAAUGAAGCGGUACAGCUUGUCAAGACUGCCGUAGAACUUCUUGUCCACGCUGUCCGCAUUGCCCUGGAUGAUGUUGCCCAGCACAUUGAUGGUCUCCACAUCGAACUUCUCGUUCUUGUGGAUCCAGUCCAUGACACGCUGCGUGUACAUCUCCACAUGCUCGAUGUGCUCGUAGUUGUGCUCGUGGUAGAAGCUGUGGUGAUUCUCCCGGUGCCAUUGGGGUACGCCGUAGUAGGUGCGCAGGUUACUGGCAUAGCCGGAUUCGGUUGGCACAUACAUGUUGAAAGCGGGCACCUCGCCGAGAUCGUGGGACAGACGCUCCAGGUACCAACGGGCCAGCAAUUGCCAGUGGACAUACAGGUAGAGCUCACCGCGACGAUCCUUGUUAAGGACAUGCUCCUCGCCGCCCUUCGUCCAGAACGGAUAGUCCAGAUUGAAGUAGUAGUAGAAGGCAUUGAAGCCAACAUCCUCCAGGUAGUAGGCCAAAUCGUGAUCGUAGUUCAGGGAACCGUGCACGUUCGAAUAGUUCGUACGGAUCACCACGUUGUAGAUGUUGUCCAUCUGCUUGACAUGAUGGAAGCCGUGCAUUUUGUAGUGCUCAGCCCAUUCCAGUGCCUGGCUAUCGAAGUAGCUCCAUGGGUGGAUCUCGUAGUGGGCCGGCAGGACGACUCCCUGCAUAUCAUCACGGAACAAACUGGCAAUGGUCACGGCGUACACGAACAACUGCUUGUUUACGUGCUGGCGGGCCCAGUAGACGACGUGCUGGAAGGUCUCCCAGUUCUUGGCGAAGUAGAAGAGACGCACCAGACCCACCACAUACUCCUCGUGCUUGUCGUACAUCACCGACCACACCAUGUCAUCGGUGAAGGGUUGGUGUUGCCACAGCUCGAAGAAGUGCUCCAACAUCUCCGGGUGCACAUAGUCGGCCACGUGCUCCCACGGCUUGUACUCCACGUAGCUGCCCCCGAAGGGCGUGGUGAACACAUCGUCCUGGUAGAUGUGCUGCAGGAUCUGGUACAUGAACUUCUGUUUCAUCAGAAAGUCCUUGUCCGCCACCUUGGAGUCCAGGUGCUUGGCCUGGCCGAGAGUAGCCAGCAAUGCCACUGCAGCUAACGCAAUCACCGUGAACGACUUCAUCUUCUCGAGUCGAUUCGAAUCGUAACGCUGCAAUGAUCGGUAGCCAGUAUUUAUACCCCCGGAUCGGCGAUACGCAGAUUGCAAUCCGGCCAAUGACCGGUCGCAUCCGUAGCCUUGAUCCGCGCCAUCGCCGGAUCUGAACGACCCGCGAAGCUCUCAAUCUUAGCGCCCAUGCUGCAUCCAUAAUUGCAGGUGAUAAGACCGACGAUUAGGCGGCCAUACCAAGAUCAAUCCUACAUCAUUAUCUAAAUUCAAGAGUGAGCCACUAGAAACUGGUGGUUAGGUGAAGCAGCUGGAAGAUCCAGUU